AUUGAACGCUGGCGGCAUGCCUUACACAUGCAAGUCGAACGGUAACAGGUUAAGCUGACGAGUGGCGAACGGGUGAGUAAUGUAUCGGAACGUGCCCAGUCGUGGGGGAUAACUGCUCGAAAGAGCAGCUAAUACCGCAUACGACCUGAGGGUGAAAGCGGGGGAUCGCAAGACCUCGCGCGAUUGGAGCGGCCGAUAUCAGAUUAGGUAGUUGGUGGGGUAAAGGCCUACCAAGCCUACGAUCUGUAGCUGGUCUGAGAGGACGACCAGCCACACGGGUACUUAGACACGGCCCAGACUCCUACGGGAGGCAGCAGAGGGGAAUGUUGGACAAUGGACGCAAGUCUGAUCCAGCCACGCCGCGUGCGGGAAGAAGGCCUUCGGGUUGUAAACCGCUUUUGUCAGGGAAGAAAAGGGUGUUUCUAAUAAAGACGCCUCAUGACGGUACCUGAAGAAUAAGCACUGGCUAACUACGUGCCAGCCGCCGCCGUAAGAC
rnacentral:rRNA from 1 species